UGGCAUCACGAGGGCUUAACUGUCUCCCCUCCCCAGUCAAUGAAAUUGAUCUCCCCGUGCAGAAGCGGGGAUAAUACCAUAAGACGAGAAGACCCUAUGGAGCUUUAGACGUCAGAGCAGCCCAUGUAAAGCACCCCUUAACAAAGGAAAAAACCAAAUGAAGCCUGCCCUAAUGUCUUUGGUUGGGGCGACCGCGGGGAAAUACAAAACCCCCAUGUGGAGUAGGAAUACACAUUCCUAAACCCAAGAGCUCCCGCUCUAAUGAACAGAAAUUCUGACCAAUAAGAUCCGGCACACGCCGAUCAACGGACCGAGUUACCCUAGGGAUAACAGCGCAAUCCCCUUAAAGAGCCCUUAUCGACAAGGGGGUUUACGACCUCGAUGUUGGAUCAGGACAUCCUAAUGGUGCAGCCGCUAUUAAGGGUUCGUUUGUUC
rnacentral:rRNA from 1 species